rnacentral:rRNA from 1 species
GAAAAAAAAGAACCCGCAUGACGACCUAUCUCCACCUCAAGCGCAUCUCGACGAUCCAGUGCACCGCCGCGGUCGGCGCCCACCCCUCUGCCGCGCGUCACCACCGCCGGCCACCUCCCCUCUCCCGUGCGCUGCCCCCCUCCGCCACCAUCAUCGGCCACUGGCCCUCCGCCGUGCGCUGCCCCCACCCCUUCGGCUUCAGUGGAUCCGCACCGCCGCUGCCCUUCCUCUCCACCGUUCACCAGCGCCUGCCCGCGCUCAUCCAUCGCCGCGUUAAGGCUUCAGUGACCACGGCGCCUUGGCUGUGACCCAGGUCUGCUUGGCCGCCGGAUGGAUGGAUACCGGCCGUGCUCAUCCUUGGCGCCCCGGCUGCGACCCAUGGUUGAUUGGCCGCCGGCUGGAAGGGGACGUCUCCUCCUAACUAAGCUUGAUGUGGGACUGACAGCCUGGUGUUUGAGGCAGGACCGCAUGAGUAGUGACUUGCAUCCAGUAGGAGGAAGCAAGAAGUAGCAACGACUCUGAGCUAGUUGCUAGCAAUGCACCCCCUCCCCUCUCAUCUGGGUACAUGGAUUUUCAACGGCCAAACUACUCUCUUGAUUCUUUCUUUAGCGUUUUAGUUUUCACUAACAAUCCAUAGUUGGUAAACCAUGAACUCUAUUCAGGAGCAUCCGCCAACAACCUGUUUGAUGUUAUGCAUACGAUGGAUUGAGAUUCAGUCUAAUUUUCAUGUCAAACUCUUACCUCUGUUUAGAAAAUCAAUAUGAAGAAACAGGUGUAUCUGAUGUACGAUCUGCACUUAAGAACAAGUGUACCAGUUGUUCCAAGCUGCCGGACGGCCAAAGAGUCGGUGAAACAGAGGUUGGUAGAUUAUUCCGGCAAUGGGGCUUCUGCUUGUGCGGCUCUGCAUACCGAGCGUUCAAAGUAGGAAAACAAACUCGGCGUGGCGGCCGCUCCCCAUCUCCCUGCGUCAUCCAGAUUUGUUUCGGCUGGGUGCCACCCCGGCGGCUAAGAGUGUGCUGUCCCACGGAAGCAGGCCCCUCCUCUGUACUUCUACAACAUAUCCAGUUAUGGUUCCAUUGUUAUCGCGCACCAAACGUUCAAUGAAUUUCUUGAAGAAAAUGAAUGGAUUCUUUUGUUGUGUGCAUCAACCAGCACGGUUGGAAAAGAAAAGUCAUGGAUAAAGCUUAGUGGUUCCUAGUGAAGAGUUUCUGCUAAUCCAUCAACUAAUGCUAAUAUAGACAGAUUCUAUGUAGUCAGGACUUGGUACUUGGACCUUCAUAAGAUGGCGCAAGGGGAGCUAUGGGGAUAGAUUGACAACAAUAUUUGCAAGCAGGAAAUUAAAGUACAAAAACUACUUCGUAUCGCCUUGGCUAUAAGAGCGCCUGGACUCCCACAGCCGAAACCUCUAUUCAAUUGCUUUCCAUGCUUGACAUUGUUGUCGCCGUUUUGCCGACUUUGGCAGAAUCUCGCCGUUCGACUUUGCCAGAAUUCUGUCUGCCUGUUCUCCACCCAUGGUACAUGGUUCAGUGCCUUCUGUAGAUUGAUGUUCUAUUCUCCACCCAUGGUACAGAAACUACUUCGUAUCGCCUUGGCUAUAGAAUUAUCUGCUAUUUUCCUAUAAUUUCGCCAUCAAAAGAUGUUCUAUUUGUUUGGUUACUAGCUGUUCUGGUUGUGCCCAUCGAUCAUCAUAGCCAAUUGGUUUCCUGUAAAUGCAAGCUUCCUCUUUUACAUGAUUACCAAAAUACCUCCAUCAUGAAGAACAAAGACUAUUUGUGAUUUUUUUGUAUUAUCUUUCAGUUGCUUGUUGUGACCUAAAGAAUUGACAGGCAUUCAUAUGUACCAGUCAGUCCUGUAUGUUGAUACAUGACAGGUGUAUGGGCAUGAGUCAAUUGGUCGCACCAGUAGUUAGGAAGUCUUGUGCAAAGUUUUCAAACAAAAGAUUAUUAUUAAUGAUUACUGGAACACCUUCUCUAUUAUUGCUCUUGAUUUUAGUAUUAUCCGAUUACUGGAUCAUUAAAUCAGUCUUGUAUGUUGGCAUAGCCUCAAGCAAGCCUCUGUAUUUUGCCUUUAUUAGGAGUAGGUGAGGCUCAAGCGACUAAUUUGGUUUCCUGUGAACUCAAGUUUUAUAUUUCAUGAUUAUCAAAAAUUUGACUAGAUCAAUUUUUUCUCUGCAAUUGUUCCUUGUGUAUGCGCAGAUGUAGAUGCUAUUUUUUUACAGUUUUAGAACACCUAUGCAUGCCAAUGUGACAAUGUUUCUCCAUUGAUCCAUCCAUGCGCAAACUGACAAUUUUGUUACUCUGUUCAGGUUGCAAUCACGACGAGCAACAAAUGUAUGCACUGAACUACUGGAGUAAGGUAGUGAAAUACUUCUUGCUUGCGUGAGUGGAAUUUUCGAACAGAGGAAGAACAUACAACUGAGUGUAUGCACUACAGGUAUGCUAUUACUUAAAGCCUUAUUGCUUUGCAAUGGAAGAGUACAUUUCCUUGCAUAUAUAACAUACAAAUGGACUUCAGACUGAGUAUUUCUUCUAGCAGCUUAUAGCUCAUCUUUGCAAUUUUGUUGUCUCUGAAGCAUGAAGGUAAAAGGCAAUAAAUCGCUUUCUUUUAAAUUGGUUCCAUUCUGAAUAUAAAUUAGCAUAUCCAGGCCCUAGACCACGUACAUAUGCAUAAGUAACAGGUGGCUCUUUUCUCAUAUUUUUAGUUAAUCGUUUUUUUACAUAUUACAUGUUUAUAGGAAUGGCACAAUAUUCUCAUGGCGGAAUGGGGAUGGGGCACUAUGUGACCCAACAACUGUUCUACCAGCAGGGUUGAUGGCAUUCUAUGGCAAUACCAAGAAUCCAAACAUCAUCCCCGAAGUGAUCCGUGGUGCUCAGUGAUACACUUCAAUGGAAACAUGAAGCUGUGGCUUGGUGUCGCUCUCAACCAGUAGAGGGCUAUAUGGACUAAGCAUGUAUAGACUAGAAUGGAAUUCUUGACACUGUAACUUUGCUUUCUGAAGUAAUUUAAGAAAUCGUCCAAGAAUAAGUCAUCUGCCAAUAUAUUUAUUGUGGGAAAAUGAGUGAACUAUUAUUUUUAUUUUUUAUGGAUGAACAUAUGUGUACUAUUUGUAGCAAACAUCUCUCCAACUGGAAGGAAAAUAUUGGUGUUUGCUCCAUGGCGAAGCACUGUGUAAAGAGGCAUGCAGGGACAGACACAGGACUUGCCCUCCCUCCAUGA